UCUUCUUCUGACUCAUCGCAAAAUUCCAUUCUUCACGCGUCGGCCAAUCCAGACGAAACAGAAAAUGAGAAUAAAAGAACUCAUAAACAAGAAAAAAAAAUGAUUAUCAAACAAAUAAACAAAUGAAGAGCGGAAAUACGUGACGUCACACCGCGUUUUCGUCAUUGAAGUCACUCGUAACUUUUGCACACGGCAUUUCAUUCACUGAAGGUAUAAAAGCGCGAAAACGCCGGUUAAACCUCAUAUUGCAUUCUGCUCUCUCUGAGUUUCUUGUUGGUAUCACUUGUUGAUUCUUACUCACUUCUUACAAUGGCUGAUGUUGAAAAGAAAGCUUGCUGUGCUGAACCCAAGGAAUGCUGCAAAGAUGAAAGUUGCUGUCAGGAAGGCAAAGGUCCUUGCCAUACCGAAAAGGAAGGUUGCGCUGACAGCUGCCAAAAGAAGCCAUGCGGUUGCAAAGCUGGCGAAGACUGCAAGUGUAAAGAUGGGAAAUGUGCUUGCUAGCUGAUCGCCUUCACUUGUCCGCAUCCUUCACUGCUCUGCUAGCAUCAUGUUUGUCUCCAUCAGAUGCGAAGCAUCAAAAAAUUCCACUAUUCAAAUAUUAAAUCUCGCAAUUAAAGUCCAAGACGAAAUAUUAUUGUAUAUCAGUAUUUAAAGUCACUAGCAAUGUUUUGUCUUUUGUGUGCAACACACUGAAAUUUGUAGUUGGUAGUCAUCGCAAGAACAAAUAUGUUCACAAAAUAAAAAUUCGGUGUUUA